rnacentral:misc_RNA from 1 species
UACGGAGGGUGCAAGCGUUAAUCGGAAUUACUGGGCGUAAAGCGCGCGUAGGUGGCUUGAUAAGCCGGUUGUGAAAGCCCCGGGCUCAACCUGGGAACGGCAUCCGGAACUGUCAAGCUAGAGUACAGGAGAGGAAGGUAGAAUUCCCGGUGUAGGGGUGAAAUCCGUAGAGAUCAGAAGGAACACCGGAGGUGAAAACGACGGACUGGACCGACACUGACGCUGAGGUGCGAAAGCGUGGGUAGCAAACAGG